rnacentral:rRNA from 1 species
AUACGUAGGGAGCGAGCGUUGUCCGGACUUACUGGGCGUAAAGGGCGCGUAGGCGGCGCUUCAAGUCGUCUGUCAAAUGGGAGGGCUUAACCCUUUUUCGCAGACGAAACUGGAGAGCUUGAGAAGCAGAGAGGCAAACAGAAUUCCUGGUGAAGCGGUUGAAUGCGUAGAUAUCAGGAAGAAUACCAGUGGCGAAGCCGGUUUGCUGGCUGCAUACUGACGCUGAAGCGCGAAAGCCAGGGGAGCAAACGGGAUUAGAUACCCCGGUAGUCCUGGCAGUAAACGAUGUAUGCUGGGUGUGAGACUAGCGAUAGUUUCGUGCCGAAGUUAACGCGAUAAGCAUACCGCCUGGGGAGUACGGUCGCAAGAUUGAAACUAAAAUGAAUUGGCGGG